UAGCUCAAGUCUGGCACAGGGCAGAUACUCAACAGCUACGUGGUGACUCGGUAAAGAAAUACAGCUGUCAGAGUGGCUUGGGUUCCUUCUAAAGGUGAGUCUGGGACAAGGGUUUGGAUGCUCUUGCUUUGUUGGGGAGGUGAUUCCAGGGGGCGGAAGGUGAGGGACAGGAGGAGGGAGAACCCAGGAAAGUCACUUCAAGGUUAAAUUCUCAAGGUCAUCCCUGAGGGCGAUUGGAGCUCCAUCGUGUCCAGGAGCCUGGAGCAAGCCUCUCAGAAUCACUCCCAGGUCAAGGAGGCAGCUUUUCUUUCUGGCUCUCAGGCCUCCUGGGGUGAGACUUCCUUCUGGAUUGUUCACUCCUGCCCUUGUACGACCCCUACCCAGACCUGCCUAGGCUCUCCUGUGGGUCCCCUUGGGGUCACAGAAGCCCUGGGGCUGCCAGCAACAGGCACCAGCAUUCAGCUGAGAUGUGAUGCUGUUUUUAGGAGAUGGGUUGCAGCCCCGGAAGGACCACCACCCCGAGGGUGGAUUCACACGUGAGGCCAAGAGGCUACGGGGCUGAAACGGGAGGUGGAGGAAACAAUAGGUAAGGUGAAGUUGGCUGGUUGCAACUACCCAGACGUUUUAGUUCCUUUUUUAAUAAAUAUUUCCCCAUGUAAUCCUGUUAUGUAUUCCAGGUACAUGAAUGGAAUGCAAGGUCAAAGGAUCUAAUUUGUUUAAGCCCCCAUGUCUGUGAUUUGUACUUGAACGUUCAAUGUGGGGGAAGGUGUUGGGGAGAGGGCUUGGAUCGUCAGUGUUGGAAAAUGAGACACACGAACACGGGGAGGUCUCGACAAGGCUCUUUCCUUUUGCAGAAGGGCACGGGUGCUCCAAAAGCCGCGCAAAGGGGAAAAGACCCUCCCCUAUUUAUCCCUAACGCAGGUGAUGUACCGGCCCCUUCCCAUGGGGCGGGUCAGGGCGCACAUUCUUCUCGUGGGCUAAUUUGAAACAAAUUGCAACUGGGAGAAGAGGAAGAGAGGAGAAGGGGUCACCAAGAUUUCCUUUGAUAGAAAAGACAUUAUGUUUCUUUCCACAAAGGGAAGGAUAAGAAAACAGAAACCCUCUUCUCAGAAGAAGUGGGUUAAUAGUACAAGAAGGCACACUGAGUGCGGGUUAAGUCUGCAGGAGAUCAGAUCAGCUUUGUUUCACAUGGCACCCUCCAUCAUUUCAUCCCACUACUGCAUCCUAGAAUCUUCACCAGCGGCCAGAGCUGACGCUGGGUGCCAGUUCUCUGACUGCUGUUCGUGCAGCCUGCUCUGGGAUCUGCCUGGACCACCCUGCUGCUGAAGCUUCCUCCUGGGAGAUGGGGACACAGACAGACCCUGGAGGCUGCUACAGCUGUGGGAACUUGGGCAGUUCAUGGGAGCAAAGGAGGUGCCUGGUCCAAACCACAGCUGGAAGCUGUGCCAUUUCUCUUGACAUCUGGGCAGAACGUAAGCCUUGGAGGGACCGGUUGGCAGGAAUUCUUGUUGAUUGGAGGCAGGGAAGGAGAAAGCAGAGGUGGCCGCUGUCAUGUGACAUUAGCAUCACGUUAGCGAUGGCUUCAGCACCUCUUGGGUGGCGUGUGUUAUCGUGAGUUCUCAUGAACUCACAGACUUGAAACGGGUGACAGGGCCGUGGAUGCCCCUCCCGAAAGGUGUAUGACAGAUCCGGAAAGGGAGGGGCUGGUAUGAGGGGAAGUUUCCUCCUUGGGGCCCUCAGACCAUUCAGAGAGGGGGCCAUGGCCUGGACAAAGCACAGGGCUUCAGCCAGCAGAGUGACUCACCUGGGGACAGGAAACAUCUGGAUGACCUCCCUUCCACCUUGUGAACCCUCGUUAACGGGGGCAGGGAGGGCAAAUCACCUCUGAACCCACGAAAACGACGUUGUCUUUCUAAAAGCUCUUCUGUCGAAUAUGCAGAAAUUUUAAAACAAGGUUGAUGUCUUCGUUUUUUUGGCCCCAGCCAUGGCAUAUGGAAUCACAUCUGAGCUGCUGCUGCAACCUACAGCACAGCUGCAGCAAUGCCAGAUCCUUAACCCACCAUGCCGCAGGGGGAACUCCCGCUAUCUCCAUUUUAAGUUUAAAAGCUCUCACAAUUACGUGGCUUUGAGAGUUCACUGUAAAGUCAUUUAAGUGGCCCAAUGGACAUAACUGGACUUUUAAUUCACAGCCUUUGAAACAUCUUUAAAUGACUUGGAUUGAGCACUUCUCUGCUGUUGGUAGGUUUUAUGAUGGUUCCUAGUAAGAGGGAUGGAUGUAUAAACACACAUGCCUGUCACUGGCGAGGAGGACAGCGCCUGUCUGUGUAUCUAGGAAAUUCAAAGGUCAUUUUGAACUCGAAGGUUAAGAAAUGAUGUUCCUGCUACACCUUUUCCAGACUCCCUCUCAGCGCUGUUUGGCAGUGACAAUAACGGCAUGGUCCUGGGGACCACGGCCCGUUCUCCAAACCAUCUGCACCUGAUCUCGGCCCCGGGCAGUGGUGCAUGGUGGGGUUAACAAGGCUUUCCCUCAUCUGACACCUCCUUCCUCCCUGGGGAAGAGGCAUGAAUGCUGCCAAUAAGUAGACUCAAAGUAUGUUUGUCAUUAAGCUUUUCCUGUAGGCUGGCUCGUUCAAUUGAUGGAGUUGCUCUGGUGAGUUACUUUAAGCUUCCAACUUAUAAAUCAAGAUGUAGUCAUAUCAAUUCAAUGUUGGUUUGUUCACCUCGUUGAUUUUGAAAUAAAAAUGAAUGUGAUUUUAGAGAUGCCCCAAGUGAAAAAUCCCCAAUACUGACGCCACUAGCAAUGAGCAGCACUGCCUGCUGGAACCAGGGUUCCUUACAGGGCACUGACCCUAGGUCUGGGGCAGGAGAUGGUAAGUGAGCCUAGCAUAUCCUGCUCUGCCAAGAACUUUUCGGAAACUAAGGUGUCAAGGUCAAAAGGACAAAGAGGCCAACCUGAAGGGUAUCCCGUUGCUCUAAAAUACGACAAUGAAGCAUCCAAAAGAUGAGUGAGAUGGAUUGAAGUACAUGGCAUACAUAAAAUUUCAUGAAUUCGUGAAUAUCCUAAAACAAACAGCUAACCAGCUCUUUAGUUUAAAAUUUGAUGCACGGAAAGACAGAUUUAUCUUGCUUUUUUUUUUCCCUGUACAAACCUUAUUUAAGAGUUCACAAAGAGGUGACAGGAGAAAUUUCUUUACAGAUGCAUACAAGCUAAUAAAAGUAGAAGGAAUGAUAGUUAAGAAAUCAUUAAAAACAAACACCUAUUGGAGUAAUGAAUUUAGGCAACAGUCAUCAAAGACAUUAAAGCAGUAGGUGACAGGUGAAUGGGGACCAGCCAGUGGAUGGAUCAGGCUGGGGAUCCAGGAACUGACUGUCAAUCUCUUAUCACUAAGAGCGGAUGAUGAGACGUUACAAUGUGAUGCAAAGCAGAUAUGCAGCACCAUCUCUGAAGCUGAAAAAAAUUCCUCUGAAUCUAAGCAAGCCUCUGUGUCUAACCUUUCACUUAACAGAAAAUACAGCAGGUAGAGAAACCAGUUAGAAAAUGUCAAAUCAAUACCGUGGGACAUUUUACAGGGCGGCCAAUCUAAUUUCUCCAAAGAAUUAAUGACACGGAAACAAAGCAGGGGAGGGGACAGCUACAGACAUGAGACUUAAGACUUACUCGUGGGCUUUGUUCAGAUCCUGAUUCAGGGGAGUUCCCAUUGUGGCGCAGUGGUUAACGAAUCCGACUAGGAACCAUGAGGUUUUGGGUUCGAUCCCUGGCCUUGCUCAGUGGGUUAAGGAUCCAGUGUUGCCAUGAGCUGUGGUGUAGGUCACAGAUGCAGCUUGGAUCCCGUGUUGCUGUGGCUCUUACGUAGGCCGGCGGCUACAGCUCUGAUUAGACCCCUAGCCUGGGAACCUCCAUAUGCAGCCCUAGAAAAAAACAAAAAGACAGAUCCUGAUUCAAACAAAUCAACUGUUAGGAAAUAUAUUUCAGAUGGCAUAGGAAACUUAGACUAGAGACCAGGUACUGAACGAGCACAGGCAACAGUGGUUAGUUUUAUUAGUUAUAGUAAUGGCAGUAUCGCUAAACAAGCUCAUUGGUUAUGGAUGCAUACCGGACUAUUAGGAUAAAAGCCUGCGGUAGCUUGGAUCUCUCUAGACACACUCCAAUAAAGAAAGGAGGAGAGUACUUUGGCGCCUCGGUAGGUUAAGGAGCCAGUGUUGUCCCUUGCAUCAUUGUUAGGUUCCAUCCCUGGCUCGGGAACUUCCACAUACAAGUGUGGCGAAGAAAAGAAAAAAAGAGAGAGAAAGAAAGGAAAAAGAAGGAGGAAGGGAGGGAGAAUAAGACAAUAAAUAGACAGAGCGGUGUUGGAAAUUUUUGGUAUUUUCACACCGAAUACAGGGACUCGUGGAUUCAUUAUACUAUUCUUUCUCUGCUUGUGUGUGUUCUGUUUUUCCAGAAUCACAUUUAGAGUAGAAUUAUUGACACACUCUUUCAAGCAAAGUUUAGAACCCAGAACGUCAAUUCAAGACAAAAAUAGGAGAUCUCACUGUGACACAGUUGGUGAGGAAUCCCCUGCAGUAGCUCAGGUCACUGCAGAGGCCCAGGUUCCAUCCAUGGCCAGGCACAGUGGCUUAAAGGAUCCACCAUAGGUCACAGCUUCAGCUCAGAUUCAAUCCCUGGCUUGGGACUAUCCAUAUGCCAAGGAUGUGGCCAUUAAAAAAAAAAAAAAAAAAA
rnacentral:lncRNA from 1 species